AGCAGCCGCGGUAAUUCCAGCUCCAAUAGCGUAUAUUAAAGUUGUUGCAGUUAAAAAGCUCGUAGUUGAACCUCGGGGUCUACCCAUUGGUCAGGCUUAAUUGUCUGCACUGGUGAGAUGGAUCUCUACCUUCUGAGGAACUUUCAUGCCAUUUAUUUGGUGUGAUGGGAAAUCAGGACUGUUACUUUGAAAAAUUAGAGUGUUUAAAGCAGACUAUCGUCUGAAUACAUUAGCAUGGAAUAAUGAAAUAGGACGGACUGAUUCUAUUUCGUUGGUUUCUAGGAUCACCGUAAUGAUUAAUAGGGAUAGUUGGGGGCAUUAGUAUUCAAUUGUCAGAGGUGAAAUUCUUGGAUUUAUUGAAGACUAACUACUGCGAAAGCAUUUGCCAAGGAUGUUUUCAUUAAUCAAGAACGAAAGUUAGGGGAUCGAAGAACGAUCGGAUACCGUCGUAGUCUUAACCAUAAACUAUGCCGACUAGGGAUCGGACGAAGUUAAUUUUAUAAUGACGCGUUCGGCACCU
rnacentral:rRNA from 1 species